GGAAGUCGCUUGUGCGCGCGCUCCGCGGCGGCGGAAGGCGGAGGUGGGGGUCCAGGCCGCCUGAGGGCAGCUCCUGUUGCCGGUUGCUGUGUUUUCGGGCUGCGGGAGACUUUGGCUGUUGGUUUAGUGCCAUGCAUCCUUUACAGUGUGUCCUGCAAGCACAGAGAUGGGGCCCCUUGGCUUCUGUGUCCUGGCUGCUGCUCAGGACCUGCAGGGCACAGAGUAGUGUCCACGGCACCACAUGUCCCAGUCCAGAGAGGCAGCAGGAAAAUGGAGUUCGGAAGGAUUUCAGCUCUAGGCUGGCUGCUGGCCCGACUUUUCAGCAUUUUUUAAGAAGUGCUUUAGAUCCUCAAGAGAAGCCUGACGUGGAGGACCCACCCCCCUAUCUCACAGUGGAUGAACUUUCUGGGAGGCAGAGAAAAGUCUACCUGGAGACCUAUGGCUGUCAGAUGAAUGUGAAUGACACAGAGAUAGCCUGGUCUGUCUUACAGAAGAGUGGCUACCUGCGCACCAGGAACCUCCAAGAGGCUGAUGUGAUCCUCCUUGUCACAUGUUCUAUCAGGGAGAAGGCUGAACAGACCAUCUGGAAUCGUUUACAUCAGCUUAAAGCCCUGAAGACAAAACGGCUCCGCUCCCGAGUGCCUCUGAGGAUUGGGAUUCUAGGCUGCAUGGCUGAGAGAUUGAAGGAGGAGAUCCUCAACAGAGAGAAAAUGGUGGAUAUUUUGGCUGGUCCAGAUGCCUAUCGGGACCUUCCUCGGCUGCUGGCUGUUGCCGAGUCAGGUCAACAAGCUGCCAAUGUGCUGCUCUCUCUGGAUGAGACCUAUGCUGAUGUCAUGCCAGUCCAGACAAGCCCCAGUGCUACAUCAGCCUUCGUGUCUAUCAUGCGAGGCUGUGACAAUAUGUGCAGCUACUGCAUCGUCCCUUUCACUCGUGGCCGGGAGAGGAGUCGGCCUGUUGCUUCCAUUCUAGAGGAAGUGAGGAAGCUUUCUGAGCAGGGGCUGAAAGAAGUGACACUCCUUGGUCAGAAUGUUAAUAGUUUUCGGGACAGUUCAGAGGUCCAGUUCAACAAUGCAGUGUCUACCAACCUCAGCCGUGGCUUCUCCACCAACUAUAAACCCAAGCAAGGAGGCCUUCGUUUUGCUCACCUUCUGGAUCACGUCUCCAGAGUAGAUCCUGAAAUGAGGAUCCGUUUCACUUCUCCCCACCCCAAAGACUUUCCUGAUGAGGUUCUGCAGCUGAUUCAUGAGAGAGACAACAUCUGUAAACAGAUCCACCUACCAGCCCAGAGUGGAAGCAGCCGUGUAUUGGAGGCCAUGCGGAGGGGAUAUUCAAGAGAAGCUUAUGUGGAGUUAGUUCAUCAUAUCAGAGAAUCUAUUCCAGGUGUGAGCCUCAGCAGCGAUUUCAUUGCUGGCUUUUGUGGUGAGACAGAGGAAGAUCACCUCCAGACGGUGUCUUUGCUUCGGGAAGUUCAGUAUAACAUGGGCUUCCUCUUUGCCUACAGUAUGAGACAGAAAACUAGGGCAUAUCACAGGCUGAAAGAUGAUGUUCCAGAAGAGGUGAAAUUAAGGCGUUUGGAGGAACUUAUUACUGUCUUUCGAGAAGAAGCAACAAAAGCCAACAUGGCCUCUGUGGGUUGUACCCAGCUAGUGCUGGUGGAGGGGCACAGUAAACGCUCUGCCACUGACCUGUGUGGCCGGAAUGAUGGAAACCUUAAAGUGAUCUUCCCUAAUGUAGAGAUGGAGGAUGUUUCUAACUCUGGGGUCAGGGUUAGAGCUCAGCCUGGGGACUAUGUGCUGGUGAAGAUUACGUCCACCAGCUCUCAGACACUUAAAGGACAUGUUCUCUGCAGGACCACCCUGAAGGACUCCUCAGCAUAUUGCUGACCUGAGUGGAUGGCCUUAGAGUUGACAUGGGCUGUCCUUCCUGACAGGAAGGGAGAUAGGACUGGUCACUAAAGAAAGAGACAAGGGCUUUCGAGGCAGCCAUGUCCAGGGAAGGCAGAAGACUUAACAACUACCUACAAGGCACUGAGCAGAAGGUGCAUCUAUUUGGGUGUGGACCGAUCGAAUAUUAGCAGGCGACACAAUGAUAAGGAAACUGAGUCUUGAAGAGGCUUAUCAACUUAUCUCCAGUCGCACAGAUGCUGAUUUUGACUUGAAGAAUGAACUAAUAUCCGUAAAGCACUUCACCAGUGCUGGCUGCAGAAUGGGAGCUUCAUAAAUGCCACUUCCUCUCUCCCUAACUCUCCUUCCUGGAAGAUUUCCUUCCAGUUUAUUAAGAAGACACAAUCCGCCAAGCUCUGAGUCUCAGAGUCAAAAACUUAAGGAGUCUGGGUGAAGCCUCCUUGGGACUUCAUCACAACCAGUUGGAUGCAGAGAGAGAAAAAUGGAGAACUCACAAAUUUCCGGAUUGGAUCCAUACAGUCUCAGGAACAAUCCUGCAAUGCCCAAAGGUUCCCCUGGUUUGCACAGGACUCUCAAAAUCACCCUGUUGAGAUCAUUUCCUCAUCUUUCAAAAGAGAUAAUUCAGGACUGGAGAAUGGGAAUGGCUGUCUCCAAGUUGGCCAUCCAGCCAGUGGAUAAGCCAGGAGGCAUUGGUGGUGAUGUGCACUGGCUUCAGAGACAGACAGGCCUGGGAUGGAAUCCCAGCUCUGCCACCUACUACUUGCUGGACAAUCUGGGCAAUGCAGAGUUUUGGAGGCUCAAUUUCCUCAUCUGGAAAAUGUGGAUGAUACACACCCAUACCUUCCUCUCAGCCUUAUCCCAUGCUUCCCUGAUGCCAGCAUCACACUGAGCAUUUGGGCCUCACCACCCCUGCCUUCUUUGGCCUUCACGGUCGCCCUGUUUGGAAGUUUGAUCCUCUCCGUGUUGGGGCAUAGCAAAAACAGGCACUCAGAUGGAUGUCAUUUCCCCCACAGAUUCUGGGGAGCAAUAAGUGUCAGCAUCAGAACUUGAACCCAGAACCGUCUGACUCCAAAACUCUAUGUGUGGAGCCAGCUAUGUGGUAUGAAUUCCAGUUUUCUCUCUCCUGAGGGGAUCCAGACUUUUACCCUCAGCUAUAUUUGGAGAAGAAAGGUCUUAUUCCUUGGAAGAGGGACUUCAGGCACCAGCAAGCCGGUGGGGGUGAGGAUUAAAGGGAACUUCACCGGGAUCCCGAAAUUACAGAAUGUGGAAGCCCAAACCCAUGAGCUGCUCGGACCGGCCCCCGGCCCUGCUUCUAAUUUGCCCAAGCCCUGAUGAACCUGGCCUCAGACGGCCUCAGCUCUAUGAGGAGGAGCAAGGUUUAUCCACCCUUCUGUCUUUGGUCUUAAACUCACCUCCCCAAAGAUGUGUGUACCCUUUUCCUGAAGCAAAGCUCUCCACCUUGAAGCAUCAACUCACCUCAAAGUCCCGUUCUUAAGUGAGAGGACCUUCGAAAGAGCAUCGUUCACCAACUUCUCAGCUUCCUGCAGCUUCUGCUUGGCCAGCUGCCAAACCUUGGAAUCCUGAAGCACCGCCACGUCAGCCUUCAGUUUCUGAAGGAUAGCUGACAAAAACAAUUGCCAUUGAGAGUUGUGUGCCAUUUAUGGAGCAGUGACCAUGUAGGAGGCGCUAGGUCGUUGCUAAGGUCUCCAAGAAGAGAUGCCGAGGUCCCAGUGAGCAGGCCGCACAAGAGAACAAGUUUCCAAAGCUGAAGCAUCUUGUCUUAACACUUUGACACCAGGAGGAACAAGAGUGAGAAUUACCCAGAGAGAAAAGGAUCAUCUUUGAUAAGCACCUGUUACUCUUACACUUAACAUUCCUUUAAGGUAGAUGUGGUUAUCUGCCGUUUUACAGAUGGGCAACCCAGAUCAGAAAGCUAGAGCAACUUGCCCAGAAACACACAGCCAGUGAGUGGAGGAGCUGGAAUUUGGCAAGUCACACUUAGUUCCAAAUCUGUGCUCUUUACACAAAGGUCCUUUGCACAUGCUAGCGCCUCUGCCUCCUUGUCUUUGCAAUUUUACCUAAGUUAUUUCCUACUGACUCUCCAGCUUCAGUAAGACAUCACGCCCUCUGUGAAGCCCACUCUGGCCCCUUCCCAGAGUCAAGGUUAGGGGGCACCCUCACACACACACCAUCUUGCUGUCUUCGUCCUCUGAUCAGAGUUCUGGAUGUCAAUAAUAAUGCUACACUCAAAAUAUUAGCUAAUCCAAGUGGUCCCAUCCUUCUGUCUCUUGCCCCCCAAACAUUCUGAAGAUCGCCACGUGGGGUGCCAUCAGGGGGAAAGCCCACCACUCACAGGUUUGGAGGAGGAUGUCCGCAAAUCCUUGUUCCUCUGCACAGUCUCCUGGGAUCUGCUAGGGGCUGGUGGCCUUUAUGUGGUGGUGACAGGAUGGGAGGCUGUGCACAGAAGCAAGCCCUGGUUCCGGGGCCAUCCAGAGCGAUUC